UACGUAGGUGGCGAGCGUUGUCCGGAUUUACUGGGCGUAAAGGGAGCGUAGGCGGACUUUUAAGUGAGAUGUGAAAUACCCGGGCUCAACUUGGGUGCUGCAUUUCAAACUGGAAGUCUAGAGUGCAGGAGAGGAGAAUGGAAUUCCUAGUGUAGCGGUGAAAUGCGUAGAGAUUAGGAAGAACACCAGUGGCGAAGGCGAUUCUCUGGACUGUAACUGACGCUGAGGCUCGAAAGCGUGGGGAGCAAACAGAAUUAGAUACCU
rnacentral:rRNA from 1 species